AUGGGGAAAGCUAGAAGAGAGGGGGUAUACAUGGCGUCGGAGAUGCUGCUCAGGAGGAUCCAUUCCAUCUGCUGUCUCGCCGGGGACCGCCGAGCGCAGCUGUUCGGCAGCGGGGAGGGGAUCCAUUGUCUCGUUUCUCCGGUCAGCCAUCCAUCAUUCUGCAGCAACGCAUAUGAACAAGCCGGUGCGGGCUUGCUCAAGCAAGGUUUGCCCUUUACUUCACCCCCGAAUUUCUCCCAGUAA
rnacentral:rRNA from 1 species